UUGUUAUGUUGUUGCUUUUUU
rnacentral:piRNA from 1 species